CACAUACUUUUGAUGAGAAGAUAUUUAUGACAGUAAGUGUAGAUAUUUAUUGUUGUACUUAAAGUUGAAUUCCAGCUUUUGUCCUACCCUACGUCCUUCUACUCUCUGCCACAUAUUUAGCUGCUCAAAGCUUCUAGAAGAAAUGCCUUUUGUGAUUACAAUUGUCAUGUUUACUGUUCAUACUUCUGUGGUAAAAGAUGUUAGAUUGAAUAACCUUUUUCUUUUUUAAUUAUUUGGAUAUCCAUUUGCUGUAAUUUGAAAUGCAUCCCUGGUACAGCUCAGAACUAACAAACUGGACACUUCAGAGGGAUCUGAAAGAGACCUAUGAAACAAAGCCAGGCCUGAGAUGAUAACUGAAUCUGUAAGUGUCUACUAACCACCUUUUGAGGGCUCAAGGUCCAUGGCUGCAAUAGAAAUCUCAGUGAGUUUCUAAAAUGGGAAGAAAAGAAAUCCACAAUUCAGAAUGUUAAAAGCACUGAUGUCCUGGAAAAUGCUAAUGUGAUUGUGGGUUUGAAAUCUCAUACUUUGUUGUACCAGAGGGCCGUGUGCAUGUCUUAGGUUUGGUCCAAAGAAAUUAUGCCCCAUUCUGGUGGUGUUUCUAAAUCCUGGAGUCUCAUAAACCUUCAUGUCAGGGUAUUCAGGGGACAAGAUAUUUGAAUCAUGAUGAUUAAACAUGUCUUGAAAUCAUGAUAGGUGAAGGUAAACCUACUCAGAUUUGGGGGUUUAGUUGGAUUUUUUCUUACUAAGAAUAGAGAGUAUAGGUUAGGGUGACAGCCCUAACGUUGUGUCUAAAGAAAAGCCCCUUCAGUACCUGUAGAGCUGGACUUCCAACAUGGAGCAGGUGUCUGCCACAUGGCAGAGGCAUCAGCGAGAGCCUCACAGCAAGGUCUAUGCAAAACCAGGCUCCAAUUAGAAAAAAAAUCAUUCCUAGAAUGUGAAGUUUUCUGAUACCAUAGAGAACCUGAAAUACAGUCCUAACUUUCCAAAGGACAGGAUUUCAGGAGCCUGAAGGAAAAUAAAUUACUAUAUUCUUAACAAACAUUGUCUACAUUCUAAUCACAUAUUGUAAGAUAAGUAUCUUUUCUAUGAAGAUAUAAAUGUGUGUAGGCAAUUAUAUCUCACUGUUACCUGUAAGUGGAAAGCAGCCUAUCCAAAUUCCCUUCCUCGGGGCAUAUCUUGCCGAGUGUACUGCCUUGUCCCAUCACUUGUGCAAAUCUUCAUCAUCAAAUAAGAACUUUCUCUGGCUGGAAACAGAAAAUUGUAUUGCAAAUCAUGCCAGCGUAUGUCAGCAGUAUUACUCCCUUGGCACUGCUCCUCCUUGUUAAUUGUGGAGUAGAAAAUGUUCUUCUUCAGGCUUUUCCUCUAAAUACCUCAGCACAAGAGCCAGAAACCAUGGACAUUUGUGUGGAGGGAAUUUGGCAGUUGAAAUGCAUGGAAGCCUGGCUCUGGCAUGAGCAUAUCCAAGCAUCUGGACCCCUGGUUAACUUCCUGACUGAUCUCCUGCCUCAGACAUGGGGCCAACCAUGAUAAGUGCACCAAACAUUUGGGCUGGGCAGAAGCUUGGACAUGUCUUAUGGUUUUAAAAAUAGCAGAGCAAAUCCAAAGUACUUUGGCAGACCUCAUUCAACUUCAAAACUCAACUGGAAAGUCCUUCUUCCUGAUGAUUGCCUUGUGGAUUAUUCCCUGGGUUGAUUUUUUGCCUGUCCCAGCAGCAAAGCCACAGCUGCAACCUCACUUACAAAAAUGGCUGAAUUCUGAACUCAAACACAAGUGCAUUUCUGGUGCAUAGUGAACAGUUUCCUGGCUCAAUUUACAGGGACAUCUGUGUCCAAACUACUGUGAUGUUUGCGAAGCAACUAUUUGGUUGUAUGUAGAGAGACAGUAGAUUUGUAUGUGCUGUUUUCCUUGGUCCUUCAUUCAAAGAAACUUUGUGCUGGCUUUCCAAAACAAAACAAAAGGAAAAUAUGUUCUGUUUAGGUUACAUCUCAGCUGUACAUAUGUAUGUGUACAUAUGUAUGGGUGUUGUACAUAUGUGUGUGCACAUUUGUGUGGGUGUAUGUGCACAUAUAUAUGUAUAGGAAAGACUUCCCUUCAGUAGUAAAUGGGAGUUUAAUCUGUACUGGCUCAUAGGCUACAGAUGAUUGCAAAGUUAUUUUGUUCUUCUGUCACCCAAACAAAUUCAACUUCCCACUCGUUUGACUCAUUCAUUGGUAGGUGUUUAGACUAAAACAUAAUUUAAUGUUGUUACCUGUCCAUUGACCUCCCUAGGGAUACAUCUAUGUAUGAUACGAAGACCAAACACUAAAGCAAAGGGUCUAAAGCAGGUGGCAGUGUGUUAUUCCAGUAUCCCGUUCCUGAAUAGGGUUGGUACAUCUCAAACCACACGUGGUCUUCACCACUACAGUGUUUGAGCAUUCAUUCAUGAGAAUGUGACAAAGCUUCUGCAACUUCUCUGGGACCAGGGUCAUUCACUUUUCCUUCACACCAACACCUCAUAUAUACACAGAUAAAAACAUACAAGUGCUUGCAAACUGUAUAAACGUCAUCUAGGAGACCUUUUAUACAGAAGUCACCCACUUCUUUGUUGAUUCACCAUUUCUCUUUUCAUCACAGGCAAGACUGACAUUUUCUGAAUAAUAAAUACAAAGUAUUUUACAAGUGGGGAAAUGGCAUCAGACAAAAAGUCUUGUUUGAACUACUGAUUUCUCUUGUCCUUCUGCUGCUCUUUCUUUGCAUUACCAUUUUUACCCCAUCAUUAUAGUCUAAAGGUGCAGAGAAGAAUAGAAGAACAACGAAAAACUACGUCAUUAUCCAAGAUGUACAUUGCAUCCUGAGACUCUUCAGCACAAGGACAAACGAAGUUCAUUUCCUGCCACGACAAGUUCAAGGUUGAACUAAACUGGAAGCCCUUCCCUCUACUGUGAGAGUUGUUUUUUUUCAUAUCACAGUCCAGGAGAGCAAAGAUGGUGCCAGGGCAGCUACGACGACAGCUUCUACUGGAUCAGUGCCUGACUGAGGAAAGCAGGAAUUCAGGACUACGGUCUCCAGGCUGAAAGGCAGUUUCAGAUGAUCAUUACUUGAGAUGAUCAGGCAAUGUCCACUUUGACUGAUGGCAUGAGAGCAGCGGUUCUGUAGUGACAUUGGUUCCAUGAAGGACUGAAGUACGCUCUUCAUCUUAUGCAUCUAGGGAAUGCCACUGACUUUGGCAGGACUGUGUACACCCUUGGCGAUAACCCAGACCUCUUGGAUUUGGACCAGAACGGCCACAUUUGUGGACGCAGCUAUAACUGUGGAGAGAAAGUAAGUUGCGUGUACCCUGGUCAUGCUGUUUUCCCAGGGAAAACAAUAACGCGAGGUAAUGCCCUUUCUCUGCAGGCUGUGUGCUGUCCUGCUUGACUGGAGCAAUGGCUGGGAAAGCUGGCGUUUGUCCUGUAAGCAGGGAGCAACUCUUGGGUGCAAAAAAGUCACUACUGUACAAAUGCCAUGCUGUUUCAGAUUUUCCUUUGGGGGGGCACAUUACUCAGAAGGAAGUAGCAAGGCAAGCCCAGUGUCAUGUGGAAUAGCUGAAAUUCCUCAAGUUCCUUUUUGCCAGGAUUUCAAGCUGUGAAAGACACAUGAUCUCCGCUGCUCAAGUCUACAACUGAGGAUUUUUCCCCAACAAAGAUGAAUAGAUAUCUACAGCUUUGUGCUAUUGCCUUAAUUCUGGAGAUGAGAAAGGAGAGGAGAGAAGGAAUGUCAGCUGUACCUGAUGACACAGUCAUUGUCAGACCCAUGAGAGGAGCCCUGAAAUGCCUUGCUCUUAGUCUUGUAUUCAUUCCUCCGGGUUACAAAGACGUGACAGAUACAGUACAUGUUUUUUCUUACAGUCUGCAUAGCAAAAUCAGACAAUUAGGAAGAUGCUUAAAACACAAAAACCGAAUAAUCCAGACAUGUGCAUUCUGCUGUUUUCUUUAUUUUUUAAUGAAAAAGUGUUUAUUUAAACCCUGAGAUAAAUCUUGUCUACCUGCCACCAGUUUAAAUCUGAUUCGAUUUCCUCAAUUAUUCUCUGUAAGGGUUUCUUUUUCCCCGUGUGCUUGUAGUACAUUGGAUAACAGUAAAAUUACCAUCACAUAAUGUUAGUCUAAAAAUACAUGUACCAUUAUUAUUAUCAAAUAGAGAUAA